rnacentral:rRNA from 1 species
AUACGGAGGAUGCAAGCGUUAUCCGGAUUCAUUGGGUUUAAAGGGUGCGCAGGCGGAUUGGUAAGUCAGGGGUGAAAUCCCACAACUCAACUGUGGAACUGCCUUUGAUACUGUCAGUCUAGAGUAUAGUUGAAGUUGGCGGAAUGUGUCAUGUAGCGGUGAAAUGCUUAGAUAUGACACAGAACACCGAUCGCGAAGGCAACUGACUAAGCUAUAACUGACGCUCAUGCACGAAAGCGUGGGGAUC